rnacentral:rRNA from 1 species
UACCCGCUGAAACUUAAGCAUAUCAAUAAGCGGAGGAAAAGAAACCAACAGGGAUUGCCCUAGUAACGGCGAGUGAAGCGGCAUCAGCUCAAAUUUGAAAUCUGGCUCUUUCAGAGUCCGAGUUGUAAUUUGCAGAGGGCGCUUUGGUGUCGGCAGCGGUCCAAGUUCCUUGGAACAGGACGUCACAGAGGGUGAGAAUCCCGUACGUGGUCGCUGACCUACACCGUGUAAAGCCCCUUCGACGAGUCGAGUUGUUUGGGAAUGCAGCUCUAAAUGGGAGGUAAAUUUCUUCUAAAGCUAAAUACUGGCCAGAGACCGAUAGCGCACAAGUAGAGUGAUCGAAAGAUGAAAAGCACUUUGGAAAGAGAGUCAAACAGCACGUGAAAUUGUUGAAAGGGAAGCGCUUGCAGCCAGACUUGCUUGUAGUUGCUCAUCCGGGCUUUUGCCCGGUGCACUCUUCUGCGAGCAGGCCAGCAUCAGUUUGGACGGUUGGAUAAAGGCCUCUGUCACGUACCUUCUCUCGGGAAGGCCUUAUAGGGGAGGCGUCAUGCAACCAGUCUGGACUGAGGUCCGCGCAUCUGCUAGGAUGCUGGCGUAAUGGCUGUAAGCGGCCCGUCUUGAAACACGGACCAAGGAGUCUAACAUCUAUGCGAGUGUUUGGGUGUCAAGCCCGAGCGCGUAAUGAAAGUGAACGGAGGUGGGAUCCCGCAAGGGUGCACCAUCGACCGAUCCUGAUGUCUUCGGAUGGAUUUGAGUAAGAGCAUGGCUGUUGGGACCCGAAAGAUGGUGAACUAUGCUUGAAUAGGGUGAAGCCAGAGGAAACUCUGGUGGAGGCUCGCAGCGGUUCUGACGUGCAAAUCGAUCGUCAAAUUUGGGCAUAGGGGCGAAAGACUAAUCGAA